rnacentral:lncRNA from 1 species
GCUCUAUGAGUAACACCUCAGCAGUUGUCACUCCACAGUACCAGUUACUGCCAUUCCUGGGGUUAAACCUGCCCAGGCUCCCAGCCUGUCUUUGCUUGCACUGGAAAGGGGGAUGGAGAAUGAAGAGUUACCAGCCUGGUUUCUUUUUUACUGCAGCCUUCUGGGAGCUGUAGUUUGCAAGCCAUGAGACUGCUGGGAACUGUAGUGUGGUUUCGCUUGCCCUGCCUGCUUAAUGGCUGCUUGCUGGAAGAGCAUGAAAUAAAGAUCUGCCAGAUGGACUUUUAUUUCUGCAAUUCCAGACAGAACAGCUGCAAGGAUCCACUGUGCCGAGAAGAGACAGGGCCUCCCAGUUGCAAGCAUACAACACCUGUUCCAGGCCCGUCAACCUUUUGCUCUGUGCAGCACUGCUACUGGAUGCUGUUCCUGUCACUCGGGCAGCUAUGAAAUAACCCACUCGCUGCAAGAACCUUCCCAAAUGUUCUGGGACUCCUGUAACA